CCACAUGGGAAUGUAAAACGUACUCUGAUUCAUAUCUAAAGUGGCCACAGAGCAAAGACUUGACUUGUAUGGACCUCCCAGCACCUUUGGGCCACAGUGACUCUUCAUCCCUGCAUAUAGAGUCCAACUCUAUCAGUCAGUGUGCCUGGACACGACUUCUACGGCAAUAUCGACCCCCUAUCUGUACCGACGUCACUGCAGAUACAUAAUCAUAGAUAUGUGCCAAUGCAUUUCCUAUUAACUGGCUACUCCAGUAUCUAAUAUUGACAUAAUUUUCUCUAACUGCCAAUGUAGUCUCCGCUGCCCCUUCGUAAGCUUCCCCCUUAAUUCCACAAUCACUAGCCAUGAAACAUAUGUGCCUGAAAGGUAAAUAGGCAGAAAGGUUGUUUAUUAUCUCCUCUCAUUUUCUCCUCAUGCAUCAAAAAAACCUUCUUCCUCAAAGAGCAGCCUUUUUUCCCCUCUCACAUCUCCCUCAGUGGUGUCCCACUCUCAGAUAAUGCUCGUCUCUCUCCAUAGGAUUCACUCUAUUAGACCCCCGCUGUCAUCUGGGAUACAAAGAGCAGCGGGGGGUGGGGGGUGGGGGGGUGCCUGUGAGUCACUGCAGCUUCUUCUGAACUUCCCUGUUCUUUUUUAUCAUUUAACCACAGAUGCUUUCCAUGCCAUGUUGUCUUGUUAAAUGUUUGCGUCACUAUUUGGGAUCGGCUGCACCGGCCGGCUGAUGCAAAUGACUCAUAUUUGGGCAGAAAGGUCAAUUUCCGUGCAGCCGGCUUGGCAAUCAACUAUUUUUGCCUCUGGCUUGUUCUUGCUUCUGACAUGCAUAGACUUCUUUACAGCUCCUCCAGGGAUUGUGUUUCAGUAAUUUCAUGCUUAUAAUGUAACACACCCCAAUGUUUGUCUCCUGUUUGUGGUGCAUUACUUUCAUUUCGUGGCUUGAGUUACACGGCUGAUUCAGCAGGGUGCCUCCGCAGCCCUCUGUGGAUUCUGGAUGUGCAGCAUGAGAGAAACAUCUCCGGACUGUGGAGCUCUGCUGACUCACUGUGAUGAUGUGUGACGUCACCGGUGACCCAGUAUGCAGAGCUGCUUGUUAAACAGAUGCUUAAAUGAAUUUGGGACUGGGAAAAAAAAUUUGCAAAAAGGAGUCCCAUCUGUCAUUUUUUUUUUUUUUUUUACACUUACUGAGUGGAAAAUUGGGACACCCCUCAGAGGCAAACUCCUUUCACUAUCCACCGGCACUCUCCACAAACUCACUCUCACAGUCUUACGGCCUAUAGCUCAAGCCUGAUAAACAGUGCUGAGGCGCUAAUGCAUCGGUGCCGGCGCUCGCGUCAACAUGGGGCCCAUUAGAAAGACGUCCUGACAGGCAGGUAGUAAUUACCUCAGGGUUUCAGCUUCAUUUACCCUCGGCUCGACUCGGCGCAGACACUUCUCAUCAGGAUUUAAUGCUACGGACAACAAAAGGAGCAAAACGGCCCCUCUUUGCAGCCUUGGCGUGACGUUACAGAUUCCUUAUCUAAGUCUGACUCCACUGACAUUUACUAUAUCACAUCAUGGUGAUAUAAAAGCACUUAGUCGCAAGGCAGGGUGGCACCUUUAAUCACACAGGACCACUUUUAUGCUGCCUCCCUCCUGCUACUCGCAGUAAUUGUAAAAGCAGUCGGCGUAGAUAUCUCGUAAAAGAAGUAUACUGUAGCUGAGUCUGACUGCACUGCUUUGGCGUUCAUUCCUGCAGGGGCACGUACUUUCUCAGGGUCCCUCCUGUCGUGGUGUGGCUAAUUAUUAUCAAGAGAUCCGUUAAAGAUUUCUAUAAAAACCUGUAGAUGAAGGAUAGAGUAGGUAAGUAGGUACAGAUAUAGAAGGAAAACGUAGAAAGAUACGGGUUUGCUGACUCCAACAUUUUCAGAUUCAGACAUCGAUGAAUUUAAGGACAUUUUCAGAAAUAACUUUAUUCACCUUCUUGCUCAGACUAAGAUGACAAGAUCGAUACAUGUCCUGUGCACUAAAUAUAAAGCGACCAGCAGCAGUUUAGCUUAUUGCACUGGAAACAGGAAGAAGCAGCUCGUCUGGCUCCAUCUAAAGCUCCCAAACUCUAAAGCUCCCUUAUUAACACAUUACAUCUGGAUUCUGUACUACGAAGUACAGAGCCUUGGUAUAUUUAGAAUAACAUAAGUGCUAGUAAAAGGUAAUAAUCUUCUUAUGUAACUCUGGCAGGGAAAGCGAAUACCUGUACUUUAAAAGGAGAAAUAAGACAUGACUAUUGUCAGCAGAGCUUGUCGAGUUUAGUGAGCAAUUUUUAGAUAAGAAGACAGAGGAAGUGAGUCAUGAUAUCUGGUGCAAUGCUGCACGGAUCCUUCACAUGGACGCCAAAACAUCUCAAGACAAUUAAACUUCACAGUCUUUUCACUUGUGAUUCAUGUUGUAUCACUGCGGCGUUAUGAAUGGAAACAAAUCAAACGCUGCUGUUCUUUUGCUCGCAGCUCUUCCGCUGAUAUGAGCACGUUGUGUGGACAUGUGACCACACACACAUACACAGACACAGACACAGACACACACAAAUUGACAGUGUAUGAUUCACUCCUUUCCUGAGAGCCGGUGUGAUUCAUCCUGAUCCUUGCUGUGGCAAUGACAUUAAAGCAGGCGCUGCUACAGUACAAGGGACCAGAGUGUUGAUUUAAAGAAAAGAAACUCCUCGACUUGGUCUCCCCAUGAGGCCCGAUCGACCUUCGAGCAGCGCACUCAUCUAACCCGAACAGACUUAUUCUCCUUCUCCUGCAGCUUGUAGAGCGAGACACACAAUGCAAGAAUGUACAACCCGAAUAUGCAAGACACAUUCAAGGAUAAGGUUUAAGUUUGGCCUCAUUCUGUAGUUGCAAAUUUGUUUUCCUGUUGGUUUAUAUUCUGAAUAGUAUUACACCUUUUGGAGUCAGUAUUUUUUCUAACGGAUAUGUUGUUUUGUAGCACUUAUUAGAUGUAUUAUGAAUGCACUCAAAGAGUGUACCAGAGUUCAAGUGCCUGUGUACAGUGUCAGGUGUUUUUGAGUUCAGAAGUUUGACUAUAUUUUUUGCAGUUUUUCCACUAUGAUUUUAUGUGAAUUUUCUUUGAUAUUUUGAGAGCUAAUGAAGGUUUUUAGUAAACAGAAGUGAACUGAACUUUGGAGACUCAAGCAAACUGUAUAAACCUGGCACCAAUAUAGAGAGACUUACAGUACACAUAGGAUGCCAAUGAAGACAUGCUGUAUGUUAACAUGCUAUAAUUACUGGCAACUAAUAGGGUCAUGUAGCAUUACAAAAACAUAUACAUGUCACCUGAGAUGUCUACUCUAAAACUCAUGUAUGCUAUUAGUCAAUAGAGGUCAGCUCUACUGUGCAGACGUUUUUGCAUGUGCAGUAAUGUUCAUCAUGUACCUCCAUUUCAGAGGCAACGAGACGUGUAAUCUGCCGUAACAUGAAAUCUACGGGGAGGUUCACUGAGAUUCUCUGUGAUAAUGUUACAAACUUGAUACAGAUGGAUCAGGACCUGCUCCCGAAGAAGUUGAAUGUUACCUGUACUUACCUACUAAUGUAAAAUGCAUUGUGUAAAUGUGAAUUUCUUAGAGUUGAUACAAGAUUCAAAAAUACACUAUAAAAUGUAAAAAAAAAUGUGUGCAAAUGAAAUGAGCAUCUAUAAUACAAUAAACAGAGAUGUCAUUGUA